AGGAAUUUAACCGCUAUGCCUUCAAUAACUUCAUGUUAAAUUUGCAGGGAGGAGUUCUCCAACUUCAUCGACCUGCACAUACUCCAGCCGCCCAGACUCGCAGAGUUCCUGUGGCAUUCCUGACGACCAGUCUUCCGAAAUCGGGCUGUCCCUGGAAGAAGAGGGAUGUUCGUCAGCUUCAUGGGACCACACAUAUUCCUGUCUCCCACUAGAGAACAGUCCACUGGAGGCUCAUGCUGAUCAUAGCUACGCCCUUCCUCAAAAUGCUGUUCCUGCUCACGAGUCCAGCGGAGACAUGGCUGACAUGGCGCCGUCGAUUUAUGGACCGUCA